rnacentral:lncRNA from 1 species
CCUUGGCGCUGUGUGAGAGAAAGAUCUCGAUCUAGGGAACGUGUGAGAGACAGAGUCUGGAGCUCAAGGUCCCCCUGCCUCGCUCGUCCUCCCCGGUGAUGAUUUUAUGGAUGUGGGCAGCUACGCUGGAGUUCUUGAGAAUAAAAAUUAUUGUGAUCGUCUCCCUUCUGACUCCGCAUGUCAUCACCAGGCAUUCCUUUGAGGGCAUCUAAUCUCUGUCUCUAAGAAAGCUCUUUUCCCUGGGGAAGUUGUCAUCAAACCCAGUGUCCUGGAUUCUGGCACCACGGUGAUUCUAA